rnacentral:lncRNA from 1 species
UCAACAAACUCCCCCUUUGGCAAAUUUUGGCUAAAACAUAUAUCUGUCCUUUUUGUUCACAAGGUAAACUAUCAACAGUUAAACAACUUAACAGUAGACCAAAAUUGCUGCCAACACUUAGAAUCAACAAACUCCCCCUUUGGCAAAUUUUGGCUAAAACAUAUAUCUGUCCUUUUUGUUCACAAGGUAAACUAUCAACAGUUAAACAACUUAACAGUAGUUUAAACAGCA